CAGUAGCCGCGGGAAUACGAGGGGGGCAAGCGUUGUUCGGAAUUAUUGGGCGUAAAGGGUGCGUAGGCGGUUUGGCAAGUUUCGUGUGAAAACUUCGGGCUCAACCCGAAGCCUGCACGGAAAACUGCCGGGCUUGAGUAUGGGAGAGGUGAGUGGAAUUUCCGGUGUAGCGGUGAAAUGCGUAGAUAUCGGAAGGAACACCUGUGGCGAAAGCGGCUCACUGGACCAUAACUGAUGCUGAGGCACGAAAGCUAGGGGAGCAAACAGGAUUAGAGACCCCAGUAGUCCCUGUCUCUUAUAC
rnacentral:rRNA from 1 species